UCUCGUUGACCCAACGACUUCUUUCGCCUUUCGCGAAAGGAGUUCACUGUAGCGACCCCAGGUCAGGCGGGGAUACCCGCUGAGUUU
rnacentral:rRNA from 1 species